UGAGAAGUGAACUACCUUAAAAUACAGUAGGGUAAACAAAUGACUGGCUUACUCACUGGCUCAAGGAUCUGUAAGUUGGGCGGGGCGUGGCCAGGCAGCACUGGGACUCCGUGAUUGGCUAGAGGCUCUGCGUGGCUGAUUAUGACUGUUGUGGAGAGCUGGCUGGUGAUGGCUUUUGGUUAAAAGUUCAGCAGAGCAGAGGGCCAAGCCUUCCUCUCUCCUGCCGUGUGACUUCUCCAAUGUGACAGGACGAGCUUCUUAUAGCACGGGCAGCCCUGGGACACUGGAAUCCCAUCAGAAUCUAGCCUCUGAGUUUCCAGGCCCAUGGAACUGGAGUCUUUGGAAAUGGGACCCGGGCACCGUGAUGCAUUGCCAGAGCGGAGAGACACGACUCCACCAUGGUAUUCAGGACCAACUACAAGCUUGUGAGCAGUUAUUUUUGCUUCAAAUAUUGGAGCUGAGAUCAGAA
rnacentral:lncRNA from 1 species